AGGAAGCUGCAGUUUGUCACCGUGGAGAGCUGGCACCCUGUCAUACUACUGAGAGCCAGCCAUUAAUUUACCCGCUCUUCUGUGCCCCCUCCACCCCAACUCCUUCCCCCACAGAAACCAUGGGAGAGCUGGUUGUAUGCAGAACCGGGACCUGAAGGUGACUGAUGCGUGUUAACCUCCCUCUGGGGGGGUGCAGGAGUGCUCAGUGCCAACCCAGCCUGGCAGCCGCCCAAGGUAAUGUUCCAAGCAAGGAAACAGAGCAAGCAAGCAUCCUGGAAUGGACGAAACCCCGGCAGUGAUGUAGAAGGUUACAUUACCCUAGUCUGUCGUCAUCCUGAUUGGCAGGCUUUGGCCACUAUACCCGGAGUGGAACAGGAACUGCUUUAUCCAUGUAGUGUCACAGCGAGCCUGGAGCCUGUGACUGUCCUGGGAUGCACAGUGCAUGAAACAGAAGACAUUCAGGACACAACACCAGCCCGAAAUGAGGACACACAAAGGGCAAUUUAGACACCUGUUUACGUAAAUGAGUUACGUUUCAUAUAAUUGUAAAUGCAGACUUUCACAAUCAAUGGUUAUUUUUCCGCUGUGGCUUUCUCUGUGGGCUAGUUCUCCUGCUGAGAGUCUGUAUUCUAUUAAGAAGGACACUCCAGAAAGGCUGUGCGAUGUUUCCUUGUUCUGAAGCGCCGGAGGGAACGCGGAGACUCUCGAGAGGAGCUAAUCACACAUGGCGGCGUUCGGCACGGGCCGCGUGUUUGAUGAGGGAAUCAAUAGCCUUAAUAAUAACCUUUUCUCUGA